AGCGAACGCUGGCGGCAGGCUUAACACAUGCAAGUCGAGCGGGCAUCCUUGUGGUGUCAGCGGCAGACGGGUGAGUAACGCGUGGGAACGUGCCCUUCGGUUCGGAAUAACUCAGGGAAACUUGAGCUAAUACCGGAUACGUGCGAGAGCAGAAAGGUUUAUCUGCCGAAGGAUCGGCCCGCGUCUGAUUAGCUAGUUGGUGAGGUUAUGGCUCACCAAGGCGACGAUCAGUAGCUGGUCUGAGAGGAUGAUCAGCCACACUGGGACUGAGACACGGCCCAGACUCCUACGGGAGGCAGCAGUGGGGAAUAUUGGACAAUGGGGGCAACCCUGAUCCAGCCAUGCCGCGUGAGUGAUGACGGCCUUAGGGUUGUAAAGCUCUUUUCUUCGGGACGAUAAUGACGUUACCGGAGGAAUAAGCCCCGGCUAACUUCGUG
rnacentral:rRNA from 1 species